rnacentral:piRNA from 1 species
UAAGAUUGGGCAGCCUCGUUGGUUUG